ensembl:lncRNA
AGUUACAUUCUGCACCCAAACAUCAUUUAUAACCUUAAUAACAUCCUAAUAAUAAAACAUUUAUAGUCUUAAUACCAAUCACAAUAACAUCAUAUGAACUCAAACUGAUGUCAGGAUUCAAUCUUUCAGUGUGAACGUCUAAGACAGUUUACUAAACAAGACUCAAACAGCUCAGAGUCUCUGAAGAGCACAUUUAAACUCUCAUUAAUAUGCUGAUAUUAUCUGGGAAACAUUAUUUUCCAGACACUUAAACUCACAGCGCAGACAGAAAAAUAAAGCAGACGAUCAGGAGACGGAUUCAUUCGGAGUGAAUUCAGCCUCUGUGUUUGAUUCUGCUGAUCUCAAUCACAUUCAUGAUUAUUCAUACUGUCAUCAGUUCACAUCAGGAUUCAGAAACCAGUUCAGGAUCAAAUGAGUCACUAAUGGACUUUUAUUACAUUUGAUGAGCAGUUUACAAUAGAAAUAUUAAAGCACACAUAUUACUCUGUUUAUUAAAGAUUCAGAACAGUAUGAGAGUCUGGUCUAGAUUCAUAACUUCUGUAUGACGAUGAAAAACUGAUUAAAAAUGAAUAGAAAUGUAAUGAUGUGAGAUUUGAUGAGUUUGUGUGCAUGUGAACAUCAGAAAGAGUCUCUCUAUUGUUUAAUAUCACACAGAGACACUGAGGAAUAAUAUUCAACCCUAAACCCAGCGUAGAGGGGUUCAGUGAAUGUGGUGUUGAAUGUGUGUAAGUGUGUGAGUGUGUGUGUGUCAGAGACGCUGUAGAAGGACAGAGAGCCGGCCGACACGUCCACAUACACUCCUACUCUCUUACAGGAUGAAGAGACAGCAGGUAUAACAGUGCUGUUAUUAUUGUGCCAGACAGUGAAUCUGUAAUCAGAGCAGUUCAGACUCCAGGAUUUGUCAUUGUCUCCAAACACACAGUCUUUAAUCCCUCCUUUCCUGUUGAUUCCUUUAUAUGACACUGAUAUACCAG